rnacentral:rRNA from 1 species
GACGAACGCUGGCGGCGUGCUUAACACAUGCAAGUCGAACGGUGAAGCACCUUCCUCUUGGUGGGUGUGGAUGAGUGGCGAACGGGUGAGUAACACGUGAGUAACCUGCCCCCUUCUUCUGGAUAACCGCAUGAAAGUGUGGCUAAUACGGGAUAUUCUGGGUCUGUCGCAUGGCGGGCCUGGGAAAGCUAUUGUUUCGGUGGGGGAUGGGCUCGCGGUCUAUCAGCUUGUUGGUGGGGUGAUGGCCUACCAAGGCGGUGACGGGUAGGCGGCCUGGGAGGGUGGACCGUCACAGUGGGACGGCGACACGGCGCAGACUCCUGCGGGCGGCAGCGGUGAGGAUUAUAGAACAAUGGGCGCAAGCCUGAUGCAGCGCCGCCGCGUGAAGGAUGGAGGCCUUCGGGUUGUAAACCUCUUUCGCCAGUGAAGCAGGCCUGUCCCUUUUGUGGGUGGGUUGACGGUAGCUAGAUAAGAAGCGCCGGCUAACUACGUG